rnacentral:rRNA from 1 species
CUACGGGUGGCUCCAGUGAGGAAUAUUGGUCAAUGGACGCAAGUCUGAACCAGCCAUGUCGCGUGAAGGAUGACUGCCCUAUGGGUUGUAAACUUCUUUUAUAUGGGAAGAAUAUGAUUACGAGUAAUCAAAUGCCGGUACCAUAUGAAUAAGCAUCGGCUAACUCGGUGCCAGCAGCCGCGGUAAUACGGAGUGAUGCAAGCGUUAUCCGGAUUUAUUGGGUUUAAAGGGUGUGUAGGUGGGCCUUUAAGUCAGUGGUGAAAUCCUGCAGCUCAACUGUAGAACUGCCAUUGAAACUGAAGGUCUUGAGUAUAGACGAGGUAGGCGGAAUGAGUUAUGUAGCGGUGAAAUGCAUAGAUAUAACUCAGAACACCGAUUGCGAAGGCAGCUUACUAGACUAUUACUGACACUGAUGCACGAAAGCGUGGGUAGCGAACAGGAUUAGAUACCCGGGUAGUC